CCCUUAGAUGCUCUGGGCCGCACGCGCGCUACACUGGUCGAUGCAACGAGUUUCUUUCCUUGGCCGACAGGCCUGGGCAAUCUUUGAACAUCGAUCGUGAUCGGGAUAGAUUCUUGUAAUUUUUGAUCUUAAACGAGGAAUUCCUAGUAAACGCAAGUCAUCAGCUUGCAUUGAUUACGACCCUGCCCUUUGUACACACCGCCCGUCGCACCUACCGAUUGAAUGGCCCGGUGAAAUCUCCGGACUGGCGUGAGUCGGAGCAAUCUGACAAACACCGGAAAGUUGAUUAAACCUUACCAUUUAGAGGAAGGUGAAGUCAUAACA
rnacentral:rRNA from 1 species